AUCUUAUUCAGAGAAGUUGAGGGACUUGGCCCAUAGACGCUUCAGCAACCGGCUAUAAAGAAUACGAGUACGGUGCUAAAACCAACGAGCACUCGGAUGAUAAGUA
rfam:Streptomyces sp. WAC00263 NODE_169_length_14188_cov_168.585144, whole genome shotgun sequence.